AACUUAGUAGAUGAAAAGGGAACCCGGUUAGAAUCCGGGACAACCGCCAUUACUGUAUUUGACGUAAGAGAACACCUGCCAUUGGAAAAGCUCCUGCUUUUCUGAGAAGGCGCAUCUUCCUGUGCAUUAAUUUUGUGCAGGAUCAUAAGUCAGGAUACCUGCCGUAUUUUUUG
rnacentral:ncRNA from 1 species